UACGUACUGUGCGAACGUUAUUCGGAAUCACUGGGCUUAAAGGGUGCGUAGGCGGCCGACUAAGUAGGGUGUGAAAUGCCAGAGCUCAACUUUGGCAUUGCGCUCUAGACUGGUUGGCUUGAGUGAGAUAGGGGUGUGCGGAACUUCCAGUGGAGCGGUGAAAUGUGUUGAUAUUGGAAGGAACGCCGGUGGCGAAAGCGGCACACUGGGUCUUAACUGACGCUGAGGCACGAAAGCCAGGGGAGCGAACGGGAUUAGAAACCCCAGUAGUCC
rnacentral:rRNA from 1 species